AGAGAACCUUGUGAUUAAACUGUGAAAAUGUUUAAAAUGUUUACUUUAACGAUUUUAGCACUAAUGUUCAUUGGAAGUAUUGAACACGCUGCCGCUCAAGCAGACAGUGGCGCAGGAGGAGGUGUUGGCGGUGGCGCCGGUUUUAGCAUGGGUGCUGGCAUGGGAGCUGGUGGACAAGGUGGUGGGAG